rnacentral:lncRNA from 1 species
AGAGGCUGGAGGAUUUUGAGGAAUUGGUGGAGCUGGAGCUGCUGGUCCAUUCUGUUGGAAUCCUUGAGACCAUGAAAAAUUGGGGUGGUCUCUCCAUCCAGGGUUAUAUGUGUUGGAGUAUGGGUUGUAAUUUGAUGGCUUUCUCAUUACACCUAUGGCAUUGGCUUGAUCUGAGUAUGAGUCAUGGUCAUGUGGUUCUGUUGAUUUAGCAGUCGAUAACGAUGCUAUUUGUCGAGCAAGACCUUCAACCAUCUCCUUGACUUCUUUGAUUCCUGAAGUUGAUUCGCCAAUUUGAACCUCAUUCACUCCUUUAAUUCUUCUAGUAGUCCUGAGUGACCGACUCCGUUGUUGGGAAUUAUCCGCUUGUCGCUGGAAGAAUUCCCAAAUCUCUGAUGCACUUUUUGACAUUAGCUCUCCUCCACUUGUUGCCAUUAGCCAUUCUUGCACAUUCGGUAAUAAUCCCUCCAAAAAGUAUUGGCAUUGAUGCCAUUUCUCGUACCCAUGAUGUGGACACUUCAAGAGUAGCCCAUUGAAUCGCUCCCAUGUCUCGAAAAACUGCUCGUCCUCUCUCUGAGUAAACUCUGAGAUUUCCCUGCGAAUAGCAUUGGUUUUAUGCACUGGGAAAUAUUUAUUCAAAAAUUUCGUUACCAUUUGUUCCCAUGAUGAAAUGCUAUUGGCAGGCAAUGUAUUAAGCCAUGAACGAGCUCUAUCCUUUAAAGAAAAUGGGAAUAAUCUAAGUUUAACAUCAUCGUCUGAAAAAUUCUCGUAUUUAAAAGUUUGACAAAUAGAAUGAAAAUCAUUCAGAUGAUUAUAUGGGUCCUCAUUUUCUAAGCCAUAGAAUGUGGGGAGACAAUUUAGCACACUAGGUUUUAGUUCAAAGCUCCUAGCAGCUACAUUUGGGUAUCUUAUACAUGAUGUGCUCAAAUUUGCUAAAGGACUGAAAUAAUCCUUAAAUGGCCUCUCCUGUGGUUGCAAAUCCAUUUUAUUUUUUACUUGUUUGUGUGUGCGAAGUGUUUUCUCAAGUUCAAGGUCUAUAGGUUCAAGAUUGGGUAAUAAUGACCUUCGACCAUGCAUGCAAAACAAAUAAAAUAAAAAAUAAAGAUGGGAACAAAAUAAAUAAAAAUAAAGAAGAGGGAGAAAUUACGAUACUAACCUUAUUGCGCUAUUACAAACUUUCUAUAAAAAUACACAAAAACAAAUACAUGAAAUAAAUUAACUAAAAAUUAAAUUAAUAAAAUAAACAAAAAAAUUACAAAGAAAAAUAAAUUGAAAAAUAAAUUACAGAAUUUUAAAGAAGAGAAAAAAUAAAAGAAAUACUAACCUUUAAUUGUAGAUUUAAUUUUUUUUUUUAAUGAAAAAAAAUUACAAGAAAACAAUUAAAAGAAAUUAUUCACAAAAAUUAAUUCUAUGAAUUAAAAUUACUUACCUCCCCGGCAACGGCGCCAAAAACUUGUUGUGAAAAUUUUAAUGUACUCGCAAGCGCACGAAUCUAUUGUAGUAUAGAUCUAUGGUGACGAGUGUCGAUCCCACGAGGAGGUGGAUUUUAAUUGUGUAUAGAAUUAAUUUUGUAAAUAGGUUGUUGGAUUUAUGGUGGAAAUGAUUUGGUAUAUGCUAAAACUUAAAUUCAAAUGGCGAGAAUAAAUUCUAAAAUUGGAAUUGCAAGGGCAAGAAUAAAUUGAAGAUAAUUCUAUUGAAAUGACGUACUUGGGUAUCUGGAUCCGUAUCAACAUGCAUCAUGGGCUAAAUAAUCCGUAUUAAUGCCAAUUAAAUCAUGAGGGGGGAAUCCACACCUCAUGAACCACGCUCUAAUCAAUAUGGUGCUAAGGGCUUAUCGUGCCAAAUAAUAAUAACCUUGUACUAGAGGGCCGGUGAAACCAAGGCGGUACUAGACAAGAAUAUUAUUAUUUGUCGACGAGAAGUCAAAACAUCCACAAAAACUAGAGGGGAAGAGAAAAUAAAUUUACCAAAUUAAGCCCAUGACACAUGUUGAGACUUCACCUUCAACCCAAGCUUGAAAGAAAAUUAGCCACUCAUAAUUGAACUAGGGGCAAAAUGGGAAUUUAUUAAAAUACGAAGAAAAUACAAGAUGGAGAGGGAAUUACAGAAAAUGGAUCCCAAAAAUGGAUUCAGAGAUCUCAAAUUAGGGGGGAGAGGCCCCCUUUUUAUAGAUACAUGGAGUAAAUCAUGGCCAUCGGAUUAAAAAUAGUUUGGACGCUCAGGAUUGCGCCACGUCAUCACUCAACAGUCCACGGUUUGACCACGCGGAUGAACAGUAACACGGUUUGACCCGACUUUGAACAGUAACGCGGUUUGACCCGGAUGAACAGUAACACGGUUUGGUUGAAAAUAAUCCUGUGUGAUGCAUGCACCGUACGCGAGAUUUUUCGUCCACUGAUAUGCUGCCACGUCACCAUCAACAGUACAUAAGAAUUUUAGUCCAACAGGAUCGUGACACCUCAUCAGUCAAUGCCACAUCAUCGGUCAAUGCCACGUCAUCAUCCGUCUAUGUGAACAGUGUCGUGAACAGUAACGUAUACAGUACCGUACACGUGAAUAGUACCAUACAUGUGAAUAGUGCCAUUUUUCCUUUUAUGCUCCUCCUAAGGUUUUUGACCGUUCUGAGUUCAAAAGUGAUGUCCGUUUUGCCGUCUGAUUUCUCCUUUAUUGUGAAAUGACUAUAAUGCCCCUUAAAUACAUAAAAUACUUAAUUAAAAUAAAACACAUGUAAUUAAAUCACAAGAAGGUUAAAUACAUAAAAGUAAGGGUUGUUAGUAAGACUUGAAAUGUAAAAUGACGGUUUUCUCCUUUAUAAAUAUGCAUUUUCUAACACUCAACAGUUAACACUUACCUGUUUGAAGAUUUCAAGAAUCUCGCCUGUGGAUUUUCCCUUCUUUCCUUUAGUUAACCUCUGAGGAAAUGGAGCUUUCGGAACAUAUUCUCGUGGGUUGGUUUCUUCUUUCUCCUCCGGUGAUGAGUCGUCAACAUUUACAGGUACAAUUUGAUUUUCUUUUGUCACCGGCAUCUCCACUUUGUUGUCGACUUCCUUUCCUUUUCGCAAGGUCAUGAUUGCUUUGACCUCUCCAUGCUGCUGUGGUGAACUGGUACUUGCUUCAUGCACUCCUUUAGGAUUAGGCACUGGUUGACUUGGAAACUUGCCUUUCUCAACAGUCAUCGCCAAGGUCUGCUGAAGAAGCAAGUUGUCCCACCAUCUUCUCGAGGCUUGAAACUGAUUGGGCUUGUGAGUUGAAGCCCGCUCUCAAUUCAUUUCGUAGUCCAUCAAUGGUGCGGUUCUAUUGCUCAAUCGUGGAGUGAGUAAGAUUCUUGAGAUUCUGGAAUGAAUCCUCCCAUGGUCUGGGUUGAGAGUAGUUUUGGUUCUGAUUGUAUGGUCUAAAUGGGGGCUGAGAGGCUUAAGGAUUUUGUGGAAUUUGUUGCAUUGGUGGAGCUGGAGCUGCUGGUCCAUUUUGUUGGAGUCCUUGAGACCAUGAAAAAUUGUGGUGGUCUCUCUAUCCAGGAUUAUAUGUGUUGGAGUAUGGGUUGUAAUUCGAUGGUUUUCUCAUUAUACCUAUGGCAUUGGCUUGAUCUAGAUAUGAGUCAGGGUCAUGUGGCUCUGUUGAUUUAGCAGUCGAUAACGAUGCUAUUUGUCGAGCAAGACCUUCAACCAUCUCCUUGACUUUUUUUAUUCCCGAAGUUGACUCGCCAAUGUGAACCUCAUUCACUCCUUUAAUUCUUUUAGUAUUCCUGAGUGAUCGACUCCGUUGUUGGGAAUUAUCCGCUUGUCGCUGGAAGAAUUCCCAAAUUUCUGAUGUACUUUUUCACAUUAGCUCUCCUCCACUUGUUGCCAUUAGCCAUUCUUGCACAUUCGGCAAUAAUCCCUCCAAAAAGUAUUGGCAUUGGUGCCAUUUCU